rnacentral:tRNA from 1 species
GCCCUCUUGACGUAAUUGGCAACCGUACCGGUCUCAGAAACCGGGUUUGUAGGUUCGAAUCCUACAGAGGGCA